AUACCCUGGUAGUCCACGCCGUAAACGAUGUCGACUUGGAGGUUGUGCCCUGAGGCGUGGCUUCCGGAGCUAACGCGUUAAGUCGACCGCCUGGGGAGUACGGCCGCAAGGUUAAAACUCAAAUGAAUUGACGGGGGCCCGCACAAGCGGUGGAGCAUGUGGUUUAAUUCGAUGCAACGCGAAGAACCUUACCUGGCCUUGACAUCCAGAGAACUUAGCAGAGAUGCUUUGGUGCCUUCGGGAACUCUGAGACAGGUGCUGCAUGGCUGUCGUCAGCUCGUGUUGUGAAAUGUUGGGUUAAGUCCCGCAACGAGCGCAACCCUUAUCCUUUGUUGCCAGCGGUUCGGCCGGGAACUCAAAGGAGACUGCCGGUGAUAAACCGGAGGAAGGUGGGGAUGACGUCAAGUCAUCAUGGCCCUUACGGCCAGGGCUACACACGUGCUACAAUGGCGCAUACAAAGAGAAGCGACCUCGCGAGAGCAAGCGGACCUCAUAAAGUGCGUCGUAGUCCGGAUUGGAGUCUGCAACUCGACUCCAUGAAGUCGGAAUCGCUAGUAAUCGUAGAUCAGAAUGCUACGGUGAAUACGUUCCCGGGCCUUGUACACACCGCCCGUCACACCAUGGGAGUGGGUUGCAAAAGAAGUAGGUAGCUUAACCUUCGGGAGGGCGCUUACCACUUUGUGAUUCAUGACUGGGGUGAAGUCGUAACAAGGUAACCAAGGGCGAAUUCCAG
rnacentral:rRNA from 1 species